AUCCCAUGGUGAGGAUAGGCGGUGACAUAUUCCUGCAGACGUUCCCAUGCCUUGGGAAUGGACUCAUCCCUCAUCUGCAGGAAGCUUGAGAUUCUUCCACGAAGGGC
rnacentral:snoRNA from 1 species